rnacentral:lncRNA from 1 species
ACGUAAAUGAGGCAGUUGGGAACUGUCCUGCAUCGUUUCACUAUGGCGGAGACACCGCGAAGAUACUAUUGAUGAUAAUAAAUAGUAGUAGAUUGUGAUUUUUUAAAAGACUACUUUCACAUACAAUGUGGUUAGUAUAUGUAUGGAUGGUAUCGAUGGGCAGUGGUAACAAGUUUAGUAUUUUUAACGAUAUUGAUAUCCAAAAUGUACUUGACUAUCUAACCUUAUUUCUCAAAAAUAGUCUGAAGAACACAAUAUUGAGGCAGCAGUGAGGAACCUGUUGAGCUGCAUCAGGAGCGAGAGGGCCUCACCAGCACCUCCUGCUAGGGCCUCACCAGCACCUCCUGCUAUGGCCUCACCAGCACCUCCUGCUUGGGCCUCACCAGCACCUCCUGCUAGGGCCUCACCAGCACCUCCUGCUAGGGCCUCACCAGCACCUCCUGCUUGGGCCUCACCAGCACCUCCUGCUAUGGCCUCACCAGCACCUCCUGCUUGGGCCUCACCAGCACCUCCUGCUGCCCCACUGGUUCCUCAAGGUGUUCGGCAGACAUCCCAGAUGGCCUUGCAGAGAAACUUCCCAGCCGCCUUUGGUUGUGGCGGGAAAAGGAAGCGUAAAACAGCUCACCAGCUCACCCCGCCACCAUUAUUUGUCAAAUAUGUGGAGCUGCAAUUUUGCCUCUUGGAAGGCAACAACAAACAUGCACCAAAGGAUGAAUUCGUCCUCCUACAGGCAGGUCUUGGCAGGAGGACAGUAAACAUCAGUGAAAAUGCCAACCAUGAAGAUAUAAACAGAGCUCUCCAGGAGGAAUACCCCAAAAUGAGGGGACUAAGUGGAGGGUGGCUUUUUAAAAAGUCUGCAGGUGAGAUGAUAAUUUAAUAACUAUGUAAUUACCUACUGCUUAUUAUAGGGCUCUUCUACUAUACUGGCUCCUCUAAUACUAGUAGAUGGUGGUCACCCUACCCAUCAUUGAACCUGAGUUUCAAGUGUACCAAACAUGACACUUGAUCACAAUGCCAGGGACAGUAUGGUAGACAGACUUCAUACUCAACUCUAGUGACGAGGCACUCCAUACAAGUGGACACUUCCAGUCUUUCUACAUUCUAAUAUAUAUCCAUUUAUGUACUACUUUCACUGGCAAGGGUUCUGAUUCACAAUGCUUCUGAUUCACAUCUUUCAUAUCG